rnacentral:pre_miRNA from 2 species
AACAAUAUCCUGGUGCUGAGUGAGUUGCAGACAGAGACUCCAGCAUCAGUGAUUUUGUUGA